UAUUUCUUACUUUGUCACAUGGUAUCAAAGCCAUACACUUAAAGUUUUUUUCUCCAAGAACCCUAGCUAGCCUCCUCCUCACUUCUUCUUGGUUUCCAUGACAUCUCAUGGCAUCCCUAAUCCGUCUUCUUUCAAUUUUGAGACCUCAACCGUCUCCACUGAAACCACGGAUCCUAUAACACCAAACCGAAAUCAAACCCUA
rnacentral:lncRNA from 1 species